GUAGGUGGCAAGCGUUGUCCGGAAUUAUUGGGCGUAAAGCGCGCGCAGGCGGUUCUUUAAGUCUGAUGUGAAAGCCCACGGCUCAACCGUGGAGGGUCAUUGGAAACUGGAGAACUUGAGUACAGAAGAGGAAAGCGGAAUUCCACGUGUAGCGGUGAAAUGCGUAGAGACGUGGAGGAACACCAGUGGCGAAGGCGGCUUUUCUGGUCUGUAACUGACGCUGAGGCGCGAAAGCGUGGGGAGCAAACAGGGAUUAGAUACCCUGGUAGUCCACGCCGUAAACGAUGAGUGCUAAGUGUUAGGGGGGUUUCCGCCCCCUUAGUGCUGCAGCUAACGCAUUAAGCACUCCGCCUGGGGAUACGGCCGCAAGGCUG
rnacentral:rRNA from 1 species